rnacentral:rRNA from 1 species
GACGAACGCUGGCGGCGUGCUUAACACAUGCAAGUCGAACGGAAAGGCCUCUUUCGGGGGGUACUCGAGUGGCGAACGGGUGAGUAACACGUGAGUAACCUGCCCUUGACUUUGGGAUAACUUCAGGAAACUGGGGCUAAUACCGGAUAGGAGCUCCUGCUGCAUGGUGGGGGUUGGAAAGUUUCGGCGGUUGGGGAUGGACUCGCGGCUUAUCAGCUUGUUGGUGGGGUAGUGGCUUACCAAGGCUUUGACGGGUAGCCGGCCUGAGAGGGUGACCGGCCACAUUGGGACUGAGAUACGGCCCAGACUCCUACGGGAGGCAGCAGUGGGGAAUAUUGCACAAGGGGUGGAAGCCUGAUGCAGCAACGCCGUGGGCGGGAUGACGGCCUUCGGGUUGUAAACCGCUUUCGCUCAUGACGAAGCUUUGUGUGACGGUAGUGGGUAAAGAAGCACCGGCUAACUACGUG